rnacentral:rRNA from 1 species
UACGGGGGGGGCAAGCGUUGUUCGGAAUUACUGGGCGUAAAGGGCUCGUAGGCGGCCAACUAAGUCGGAUGUUGAAAUCCCCAGGCUUAACUUGGGAAACUCGGCAUCCGAUACUGGAUGGCUUGAAUCCGGGAGAGGGAUGCGGAAUUCCAGGUGGUAGCGGUGGAAAUGCGUAGAUAUCUGGAGGAACACCGGUGGCGAAGGCGGCAUCC